rnacentral:misc_RNA from 1 species
CUCACAGGGUUUUUCUUUCUUCUGCGAGGUCUGGCAAACCUCGCAGAAACAAGAAAACCCACAACAACCCAUCUUCUUAUAAUCUCUCUUCUAUCUUCCUUAAUUACUAGUUAAUUACAAUCUUGUUCUUAAAGGUAGUUGUGAGAUGGAGGUACAUCCCAGGGUGAACUCUGUGUUACCCAAGAGGCUAUGGAAUGUGUUGAGGGUCACCUUCUUUAUGAUCAGGAAGGGAUUGGUUUCAAAGAGGAAGUUGAUCUUGGACAUGAAUCUCAUGAUGAAGAGAGGGAAGCUUCUAAGGAAGUCUUUGAGCAAUCUACUAUCCCACCACCACCACCACCCAAGAAACAUGGCACGCGGUAGCUAUGGCUUACAGGAGUAUGAGUUCUCUUGCAGCAACAGCCCAAAUCCUGUUUUUUUCCGCGUGCCAAAGCGCAAACACCAUUACUUCCCUUGCAUCAAUCACCCUGAGGUCAUCGAAGAAGAAGAAGACGCUAAUAAUGCAGCACUGAUUAUGGUGCCAAAGACCCCUGAGUACACCUUCAACUUAUUACAUCAUCUUGAUGCCUCUGAUUUCGCUCCAGGAGAGAAGCGCAGCCCUUUCCCUUCACCCUUCUCUGUAAGGGUAUCGAAUUAUUCAUCAGAAGAUGAGAACGAUGGCGGAAUAAAUGGACAGGUAGAUGAUGAAGCAGAGGAAUUCAUCAGAAGGUUUUAUGAGCAGCUUAGGUUGCAAAGUCGCAUGCAGUUGCUGCAGUAUCAGGACAGGAACUAACUACUGAAUUUCUAUCAUGAUCAUCUUUGCAACCCAGUAUCAUGAAUCACCACUAUGAAAACCCAUAUCUGCUUUCAUUGCUACUAUUACCAGACCAUUAAUUCCACCUUUGGAAAUCUUCAUGUCUGGGAAGAUUGAUUGGUUUUUAUGGACUGUCUCAUUAUUAUGUAUAUUUUGUGAGCUUUCAUUAAUGAUUUGUUUUCCUAUUUUUCUUUCCAAAAUCGUAUGUCCGUUAAAAUUAAU